rnacentral:rRNA from 1 species
GGGGAAUAUUGCACAAUGGUCGAAAGCCUGAUGCAGCGACGCCGUGUGGGGGAUGAAGGACUUCGUGUUGUAAACCUUUUUCGCUCUUGACCAAGGGCCGCUUUUGGGGUGGUUGGAGGGUAUGGGGUAAAGACGCACCGGCUAACUACGUGCCAGCAGCCGCGGUAAUACGUAGGGUGCGAGCGUUGUCCGGAAUUAUUGGGCGUAAAGGGCUUGUAGGUGGCGUGUCGCGUCUGUCGUGAAAUUCACUGGCUUAACUAGUGAAUGCGGUGGGUACGGGCAUGCUUGAGUGUGGUAGGGGAGAUUGGAAUUCCUGGUGUAGCGGUGGAAUGCGCAGAUAUCAGGAAGAACACCGGUGGCGAAGGCGGAUCUCUGGGCCAUUACUGACGCUGAGGAGCGAAAGCGUGGGGAGCGAACA